UGAGAGAUUGAGAGGUGAGGAAAAACACUCUUGAGGAGAUUUACUAUAAAAAGUGACAGAAAAAUGAGCUCCAGUGGUGGCUGAAAGGUGCGGUGGGGUCAACUGAAGUCUUCUCUUUGUUUAAUUGGGAAAAGUAACAUCAUUUGUGUGAACUGAUGGGACUGAUCUAAAAAGGAGGGAGGAGAGAGAAGGGUGAAGACAGAGGGAAACGCUGAAGUGAUGUCUUUAGUAGGCAAGAAAAGAGGAUUUAGAAGAUAAAGUAGAGAUUUGCCUUAGAUAGGAACUUAAUUAAUUCAUCAUAAUAAUAGUAGGAGCAUAUGGACAUAAUAAUAAUAAUAGCUGAGCAUCUGGGCAUCAUUAGAGAUAAGUGAGUAAAUGUGGUGUGGGGGCCUGUGGAAGUGCUCUUUGGUGAGGUCAUUUUUCAGACAAGGUUUUCCUGAGGUGGCAAGUAUCUAAUUAAGGAAGUGCUCCCAGGAGAAAGCUUUUGGGAAUUGGGAACUGAAGACCGACCGAGAAGAAGCAAAUGCUGGCAACGGUCCCAAGAGUAGCUUCAGGAUGAUCCCAGAGGGAAAUCCUGGAGGGUUUGACUAUGAAUAGCUCAGUCUUACUGGAGGAUCUCAAUCUUGCUGGAGGGUCUCAAUUCUACUGGAAAGCUUCAGAGAAAACAGGUGAAAUUCAGAUUUGUCCUUUCAGAGGAUAGGGGAGAAGAAACUUAUGUUGACCAGUCACAGAUCCCAUUGCCUGAGGGAAAUUUAAACUUGGUGGGACUGGCAUCUAGCUUUACAUGUGCCACAGGUGAUGUUGGUGUGAUCUGAGAACUGCAGUCGAAAGAAAGAAACCAAACCAAAAGUGGCUCAAAGACAGAGAAUAAAAAGAAGCAAGGAUUUGUCUCUAGGGGAACCAGAAGAAUGGAAAAUAGAAGCUGAGGCAUCUAAAUCUUUAAAUAACUUUGGAAACUAGUCCAAAGUUUUCCACUUCAACAAAGUUCACUAGAUAUCUUCAAAAGGCCAUUCUGUUCCCAUAGGAUCCAUCAUUAUCUCACUCUGGGUGGUUUGAGAUAUUGAAGCUAGAAAUAUUUUUUUAUGCAUAAGAAUAAAUUUAUUUUGUUGGUUUUUUCUUAUUGGAGUAUUUAUUCU
rnacentral:lncRNA from 1 species